rnacentral:rRNA from 1 species
UACGGAGGGUGCAAGCGUUAUCCGGAUUCACUGGGUUUAAAGGGUGCGUAGGUGGGCUGGUAAGUCAGUGGUGAAAUCUCCAGGCUUAACUUGGAAACUGCCAUUGAUACUAUUAGUCUUGAAUACCGUGGAGGUCAGCGGAAUAUGUCAUGUAGCGGUGAAAUGCUUAGAUAUGACAUAGAACACCAAUUGCGAAGGCAGCUGGCUACACGAAUAUUGACACUGAUGCACGAAAGCGUGGGGAUCAAACAG